AUACGUAGGUGGCAAGCGUUGUCCGGAAUUACUGGGUGUAAAGGGAGCGCAGGCGGGGGAGCAAGUCAGCUGUGAAAUGCAUGGGCUUAACCGAUGAACUGCAGUUGAAACUGUUCUUCUUGAGUGAAGUAGAGGUUGGCGGAAUUCCGAGUGUAGCGGUGAAAUGCGUAGAUAUUCGGAGGAACACCGGUGGCGAAGGCGGCCAACUGGGCUUUUACUGACGCUGAGGCUCGAAAGUGUGGGGAGCAAACAGGAUUAGAUACCCUGGUAGUCCACACUGUAAACGAUGAUUGCUAGGUGUGGGGGGUCUGACCCCUUCUGUGCCGCAGCUAACGCAAUAAGCAAUCCACCUGGGGAGUACGGCCGCAAGGCUGAAACUCAAAGGAAUUGACGGGG
rnacentral:rRNA from 1 species